GACUGGGGGAUGGCUCGGCUCGAGAGCUGAUGAAGGUCGUGACAAGCUGCGAUAAGCUACGGGGAGGCGCAUGAAUGCCUUGGAUCCGUAGAUGGCCGAAUAGGACCUCCUGGCUUUACGAAGUCAUUCCCGUAUUAAUUUACUGGAAAGGGAACCGCCCGAAUUGAAGCAUCUUAGUAGGGCGAGGAACAGAAAUCAAACGAGAUUCCGUUAGUAGUGGCGAAUGAACACGGAAUAGAACAAACCGAAUCCGCUUGGGAAACCUUGUGGAGAUGUGGGGUAUGGAUCACCUAUCGUCUAAAUUCACGAAGCAGAAGUCGAUCUGGAACGACGUACCAUAGAGGGUGAAAGUCCCGUAUGUGUAGUGAACAUGACCAAGUGGUGAAUCCUGAGUAGCGUGCGUUGGAUAUCGCGCGUGAAUAUGGGAGGCAUAAACUUCCAAUUCUAAAUACAACUCGAGACCGAUAGUAGACCAGUAGUGUGAACGAAAGUUGAAAAGUAUCCUGAGAGGGAUGUGAAAAGAACCUGAAACCAGUUAGGGACAGACUGAAUAGGCGUGAAAGCGAAGAUAUGAGCAGCGUCUAUUCGUGCGUUUCGAAUAAUGCCCCUGGGAGUCUUGAUCAUUGGCGAGGUUAAGCAGUUGAUCUGCGAAGCCGUAGGGAAACCGACAAGUCCGCAGCCCGUAAGGGUGAGGGACGAGAUGUGCUCGUCUGAAGUCAAUGGUGGAGGACCUGAAGCCUAUCGAUCUAUGCCUGGCCAGAUUGAAGCCCGAUGAAAGUUGGGUGGAGGAUCGAACCGUUGCUGAUGUGCAAAUCGCUCGGACGAGUUGGGUAUAGGGGUGAAAGUCCAAUCGAGAUGGGCAAUAGCAGGUUCCGCGCGAGACUACUCGUAGGUAGACCUCUGUGGAGAUAGAUUGUGCUGUAGAGCACUGAUUGGGUAUUUAGGGGGAGCGAUCCCUCGGUAUGCUGUCAAACUCCGAAGGUGCAAUCAUUGUAGAAACAGGGAGUGAGUCGCGGUGGGUAAGCUACCGUGACGAAAGGAGAACAGUCCAGCCUAGCGUUAAGGUCCCAAAGUACUAACUAAGUGUCAAAGACAAACCGUGUCCGUGGUCGAAAACAACCAGAAGGUGGGCUUAGAAGCAGCCAUCCUUGAAAGA
rnacentral:rRNA from 1 species